CAUCAAGAGUGAAGAGUGGACCUUAAAACCACCUAUAAAACCAUUCAACAAUUGUCUUUUAAAAGACAACCAAAUAAAUAUUUUGAAAAACAACUACUGGAAGAUAUCUCCUGAUUCAGAUUUAUGAGCAAGACAAUCGUGCUUCAAUGGUCAAAGUAGCUCUUCUGAGUGUGUUUCAUCAGUGACAUCAACGCCAUGUGGGUCAACAUCACUGAAUGAAACUGCUUCAAUACGAAAGCUUACAAGUGAAGAUAUACAGGGUGUAUAAAAAAAAUAGAAGAGAGGAUUUUGAUGGCGAGUAUGGUUAUCGAAUGAUUGAACUUUCAAACCUAGCAAGUGCAUUUCAGUCCUUGCAUAAUUGGGAAUUAGGUGGAGAGUUGAAAGUUACCAAUAAUUAGUCUCGUAGAUAUGGAAAUAACACAGUCAUUGUUGAGUCAGAUGUUGCAGAGAUUGCUGUGAGUUAUGAUGGCACAUGGGCUAAGCAAGGGUUCACUGCAAACUUUGGAAUUGAUUUUGUUAUUUCUGUUGACACUGGUGAGGUUCUUGACUAUGGUUUUGGAUCCAAAUUAUCGAAGUUUGACAUGGUCCCAUUUUUAUUAAAAUCGGUCAAGUAUUCGCACAGGAAUCGCAAAUUAAAAUCAGCAAACCACUUUGAAUUAUCACCGAAGUUUAUCGGCAUUAUCAUACCAUGUGAUCUUCUACGAUUGUCAGCAAAAUUGAAGAUUGUUCGAAGAAGAA